rnacentral:rRNA from 1 species
AUUGAACGCUGGCGGCAGGCCUAACACAUGCAAGUCGAGCGAGCGGCGGACGGGUGAGUAAUUUCUGGGAAACUGCCUGAUGGAGGGGGAUACCUACUGGAAACGGUCGCUAAUACCGCAUACCAUCAGAUGUGCCCAGAUGGGAUUAGCUAGUAGGUGGGGUAAUGGCUCACCUAGGCGACGAUCCCUAGCUGGUCUGAAAGGAUGACCAGCAAGACGGGAACUGAGACACGGUCCAGACUCCUACGGGAGGCAGCAGGGGGGAAUAUUGCACAAUGGGCGCAAGCCUGAUACAGCCAAGCCGCGGGUGUGAAGAAGGCCUUCGGGUUGUAAAGCACUUUCAGCGGGGAGGCGUUACCCGCAGGAGAAGGACCGGCUAACUCCGUGCCAGCAGCCGCGGUAAUAC